GUGCUCUCUUCAGCAACAUAUGUACUAAAAUUGGCACACUACAGAGAUCAGCAUGGCCCCUGCACAAGGAUUACACACACAUUCGUGAAACAUUCCAUUAAAAU